GAGGUGGGGCUUGGUGGUGUAGCAGGGGCGGUGAAAAAGACUCUUUUCUUCCAAUUGGUAGAAUGAAUUUCUUCUAUGAUUCCUAAAGCAGAACAACUAGAAAUGUCUGAGUUAGACUCAUUUUUUUUUUAGGGCUUAAAAUUUGAGUCCUCAGUGAACCAGGGGAAGAAAGAAUAAUGGAGGGCUCAAGAGUUUUCCUAGUGAUCCUGUGGCUUCAGUUAACCUGGAUGAGGAGAAGUCACCAGAAUGAAGUGAAGCAGAGUCCUGUACCUCUGACUGUUCUGGAGGGACUCACUGCCUUUCUCAACUGCAGUUACAGUGACAGUGCUUCCCAGUACUUCGUGUGGUACAGACAGUAUUCUGGGAAGGGCCCCGAGUUUCUGAUGCACAUGUACUCCAAUGGUGAAAAAGAAGAAGGAAGAUUUACAGGGCUGCUCAAUAAAGCAAGCCGAUAUCUCUCCCUGUUCAUCAGAGAUUCCCAGCUCAGCGACUCAGCUACCUACCUCUGUGCAGUGAGCACACAGUGCUCCCCUGGCACCUGCUGUCUGUACCCAAACCCGCUGGGGCCCCAGCAAUGCCUGAUGUAGAGCCUAGGCUGCAGGGUAAAGAAAUUCUGUUUGCUGUCUAGAUGCAAAUGGGAAUUAAGAGCAUUAGCCAUAACCAUAGAAUGUCCCAGACACACAGGCAGGACAAGGAAGCCCAGAAUGGCUUCAGAUUUCAUGAGAAGGAUCUCUGAGCAAGUACCUAAAAGGAUUCUAGACACUGAGGAGUUUUGUUAUGGUGAUUAAAGGCCUGCAUGGAUUAAUUA